rnacentral:rRNA from 1 species
UGCCAGCCGCCGCGGUAAUACGGAGGGGGCUAGCGUUGUUCGGAAUUACUGGGCGUAAAGAGUACGUAGGCGGUUUAUUAAGCCAGAUGUGAAAUCCCGAGGCUCAACCUCGGAACUGCAUUUGGAACUGGUGAACUAGAGUCCGUUAGAGGCAAGUAGAAUUCCUAGUGUAGGGGUGAAAUCCGUAGAUAUUAGGAGGAAUACCAAUUGCGAAGGCAGCUUGCUGGGUCGGAACUGACGCUGAGGUACGAAAGCGUGGGUAGCAAACGGGAUUAGAUA